UACGUAGGGUGCGAGCGUUAAUCGGAAUUACUGGGCGUAAAGCGUGCGCAGGCGGUUCGCUAAGACAGAUGUGAAAUCCCCGGGCUCAACCUGGGAACUGCAUUUGUGACUGCACGGCUGGAGUGCGGCAGAGGGGGAUGGAAUUCCGCGUGUAGCAGUGAAAUGCGUAGAGAUGUGGAGGAAUACCAAUGGCGAAGGCAGCCCCCUGGGUUAACACUGACGCUCAUGCACGAAAGCGUGGGGAGCAAACAGG
rnacentral:rRNA from 1 species